UACGGAGGGUGCGAGCGUUGUCCGGAAUCAUUGGGCGUAAAGGGCGCGUAGGUGGCGGGACAAGCGUGCGGUGAAAGCUCGGGGCUCAACCCCGCGUCGGCCGUGCGAACUGUUUUGCUUGAGCACUGUAGAGGCAGGCGGAAUUCCGGGUGUAGCGGUGGAAUGCGUAGAGAUCCGGAAGAACACCGGUGGCGAAGGCGGCCUGCUGGGCAGUAGCUGACACUGAUGCGCGAAAGCCAGGGGAGCAAACGGG
rnacentral:rRNA from 1 species